rnacentral:lncRNA from 1 species
CGGUUGAAGUGGAGAACAUAUCUGUAAUUAUAGCAUCAUUAACAGGUUGUAUUUUGAAAUCAUGGACACCAAUAGGCUUGCAUAUUCCAAACUUUAAUGAGUUUGAAUCCCUUUGAUAUCUGGUACGGACGACAAUUUCCGGAUUAGAAACUAUCUCCAGAAGAGGUUAAAUAAGAUAUUGAAACUAAAGAUUGAUAAAUCUGAGUUUAUAGGCCGUCAUAUGUUACAAAACUACAAUGAUCAUGAGUUUAAAGAACAGAAUAAACCCAGUGUCGAGGAGAAGCACGUCUACACACAUCAACUUGCCACCGCGUAAGCUUCUUGCUUCCCAGAACCUGAGAAGACACACCUCCAGCCUUCAAAUCAGAGAGCAAGACAGAUGAGGCAGCCAUUAUACUCAUAAAAUAAUUUUCUUUCAAUAUUA